rnacentral:rRNA from 1 species
UGGGGGAAUUUUCCGCAAUGGGCGCAAGCCUGACGGAGCAAGACCGCGUGCGGGAGGACGGCCUAUUGGUUGUAAACCGCUUUUGAUAGGGAAGAAGUUCUGACGGUACCUAUCGAAUCAGCAUCGGCUAACUCCGUGCCAGCAGCCGCGGUAAUACGGAGGAUGCAAGCGUUAUCCGGAAUUAUUGGGCGUAAAGCGUCCGUAGGUGGUUGUUCAAGUCUGCUGUUAAAGCGUGCGGCUUAACCGCAUACCAGCAGUGGAAACUGGGCGACUAGAGUGCGGUAGGGGUCAGGGGAAUUCCCAGUGUAGCGGUGAAAUGCGUAGAUAUUGGGAAGAACACCGGUGGCGAAAGCGCCUGACUGGACCUGCACUGACAC